rnacentral:rRNA from 1 species
CACGUAGGGCGCGAGCGUUGUCCGGAAUUAUUGGGCGUAAAGAGCUCGUAGGCGGCUUGUCGCGUCGUCCGUGAAAACCCACAGCUCAACUGUGGGCUUGCGGUCGAUACGGGCAGGCUAGAGUUCGGUAGGGGAGACUGGAAUUCCUGGUGUAGCGGUGAAAUGCGCAGAUAUCAGGAGGAACACCGGUGGCGAAGGCGGGUCUCUGGGCCGAUACUGACGCUGAGGAGCGAAAGCGUGGGGAGCGAACAGG